GGGGCUAUAGUUAAGAAUAACAUUUGAGUUGCAUUCAAAAAGUACUACUAAGUAGUUAGUCUCA
rnacentral:tRNA from 1 species